CAGUCGCCACGGUAAUACGUAGGGCGCAAGCGUUGUCCGGAAUUAUUGGGCGUAAAGAGCUCGUAGGCGGUCUGUCGCGUCUGGUGUGAAAUCCCGAGGCUCAACCUCGGGCUUGCAUCGGGUACGGGCAGACUAGAGUGCGGUAGGGGAGACUGGAAUUCCUGGUGUAGCGGUGGAAUGCGCAGAUAUCAGGAGGAACACCGAUGGCGAAGGCAGGUCUCUGGGCCGCAACUGACGCUGAGGAGCGAAAGCAUGGGGAGCGAACAGGAUUAGAUACCCUGUAGUCCCUGUCUCUUAUACA
rnacentral:rRNA from 1 species